UACGUAGGGACCAAGCGUUGUUCGGAUUUACUGGGCGUAAAGGGCGCGUAGGCGGCGUGGUAAGUCACUUGUGAAAUCUCUGAGCUUAACUCAGAACGGUCAAGUGAUACUGCUGUGCUAGAGUGCGGAAGGGGCAAUCGGAAUUCUUGGUGUAGCGGUGAAAUGCGUAGAUAUCAAGAGGAACACCUGAGGUGAAGACGGGUUGCUGGGCCGACACUGACGCUGAUGCGCGAAAGCCAGGGGAGCAAACGGGG
rnacentral:rRNA from 1 species